rnacentral:lncRNA from 1 species
UUAUCAUCAGAGAAAAGGAGCCAAGGAAUAAGAGGUGGCCACCCAGCCACUGUCCCAUCACAAAAGCACACAUUCACACUUUACAAGGACAUUGUGACCAACACAGGAGCAAGCCUUCACCCAACAGAGGCCUUGGUCAGCCUGGAGGAGAAAUCUAGUAAUCACUGUUGUGGAAUGGGGAGCCCGUAAGACUAUUUUCUUCCAGAAACGAGCAGAACUUCCUUCUGCAUGAGAAUGGACUACUCUGGACUUCUAAAGGGAAACAUUCACAAAGCCUUGCAUUGACCAAGCAUCUCUAUGGAAAUUCUGAGCAGAUGCACUUCUCUCUUCCUAUCAGUGAAAAAGGAAUAGAUACCGUGAUAUGCAUGGGGUGCUCUUCACUUGGGAGGACGAAUGCAUCCUGGAUGCAGAUCUGUCUGCCCAAGCCUCCAGAUCACAGCAUGGGCGGCUCAAGCCGUGCACACCUGCGGCUUGUUGACAGCGGAGAACCGAGGAAUCGGAGGCAAUUGAACACCCCAGGAAAUCGCACAACUGACCUGCACAGAGGUAUUUAGCACAGGUGUUUCUGUAAUUGUGAUGCAUGAGAAUACUUUCUAGUGUUCAGUGGCCCGCAGCAUUCACACCUCCACCUGCCUAGCGGGGAUGGAGCGGAGGAUUGGGCCCAUGAAUGGGGCAAGACAAGAUGGGAGUCUGUCAGCAGUGCUCAAGUGGCCCCAGGAC